rnacentral:rRNA from 1 species
UACGUAGGGUGCGAGCGUUGUCCGGAAUUAUUGGGCGUAAAGAGCUCGUAGGCGGUUUGUCGCGUCGGCCGUGAAAACUUGGGGCUUAACCCCGAGCCUGCGGUCGAUACGGGCAGACUUGAGUUCGGCAGGGGAGACUGGAAUUCCUGGUGUAGCGGUGAAAUGCGCAGAUAUCAGGAGGAACACCGAUGGCGAAAGCGGCUCUCUGGAACGGUACUGACGCUAAGGCGCGAAAGCGUGGGGAGCGAACAGG